AUGAACGCUGGCGGCGUGCCUAAUACAUGCAAGUCGAGCGAACAGACGAGGAGCUUGCUCCUCUGACGUUAGCGGCGGACGGGUGAGUAACACGUGGAUAACCUACCUAUAAGACUGGGAUAACUUCGGGAAACCGGAGCUAAUACCGGAUAAUAUAUUGAACCGCAUGGUUCAAUAGUGAAAGACGGUUUUGCUGUCACUUAUAGAUGGAUCCGCGCCGCAUUAGCUAGUUGGGAAGGUAACGGCUUACCAAGGCGACGAUGCGUAGCCGACCUGAGAGGGUGAUCGGCCACACUGGAACUGAGACACGGUCCAGACUCCUACGGGAGGCAGCAGUAGGGAAUCUUCCGCAAUGGGCGAAAGCCUGACGGAGCAACGCCGCGUGAGUGAUGAAGGUCUUCGGAUCGUAAAACUCUGUUAUUAGGGAAGAACAAAUGUGUAAGUAACUAUGCACGUCUUGACGGUACCUAAUCAGAAAGCCACGGCUAACUACGUG
rnacentral:rRNA from 1 species